UACGUAGGUGGCAAGCGUUGUCCGGAUUCAUUGGGUUUAAAGGGUGCGUAGGCGGCCUUUUAAGUCAGUGGUGAAAUCCUGCCGCUUAACGGUAGAAUUGCCAUUGAUACUGAAAGGCUUGAGUCCAGUUGAGGUAAGCGGAAUGUGUAGUGUAGCGGUGAAAUGCUUAGAUAUUACACAGAACACCAAUUGCGAAGGCAGCUUACUAAACUGUAACUGACGCUGAUGCACGAAAGCGUGGGGAGCGAACAGG
rnacentral:rRNA from 1 species